GAAUGUUUAGGGCUCAGCUAUAAGGUAACUCUGAGUGAAUGUUUAGGGCUCAGCUAUGAGGUAACUCUGAGUGAAUGUUUAGUUUUAGUACUCAGUUAUAAGGUAACUCUGAGUGAAUGUUUAGAGCUCAGCUAUAAGGUAACUCUGAGUGAAUGUUUAGGGCUCAGCUGUAGAUUAGGGUGAAUGUUUAGUUUUAGGGUUCAGCUAUAAAGUAACUCUGAAUGAAUGUUUAGUUUUAGUACUCAGCUAUAAGGUAACUCUGAGUGAAUGUUUAGGGCUCAGCUAUAAGGUAACUCUGAGUGAAUGUUUAGGGCUCAGCUGUAGAUUAGGGUGAAUGUUUAGUUUUAGGGUUCAGCUAUAAGGUAACUCUGAGUGAAUGUUGUGUUAUAGCUCAUCUAGAAGGUAACUCUGAGAGUCUGAGUGAAUAUUUAGUAAUAGACCUCAGCUAUAAAGUAACUUUGGGUGAAUGUUUAGUUAAAGUACAAACUUCAGCUAUAACGUAACUCUGAAUGAAUGUUAAGUCUUAGUCUAUAGCCAAAUUAUAUGGUAACUCUAUUGAAACUUGUCACAGAUAUGUGUGUGUGUGUGUGAGCAAAGUUAAUUAUUUUGUAAGGUGUUUCCACGGCUCACCGACAGACUUGACAGUACAGACAAAGGGUAGGAAUAGUGUGACACUUAGAUUUAUACCUCGUAAGGCGACUGGAUACCCGUAGGAUGGGUCAGACACGGAGAAUUUAGUAGCGUUAGUUCAGGCGUGGGUUAGGGUCUCAGCCUUUAUAGAGUAGAGUUUUGGGGCAGUCGGGACACAGCGCCAUGUAGUGUUAGCAGGGGCGUGUGUCGUGUGCUAGGCGUUUUCGGGUGAACGACACAUACAGACAUUGGGAGAAAGUCGCCGAGGCUGGCUCGCGAUCUUGGCUCCAAUAGGUGUGAGUUGUUUGCCAGAGACAACAUGUAGGAACUAAUUCUUAGGGACCAGGAGUGACAGUCUUGGUGAGUCUUAGUGAGUCUUAGUGAAUCUUAGUGACAGUCUGAGUGACAGGCAGUUCGUAGUCAAUGUCAGUCACAGUCCGAAAGCGGUAGAUGGCAGUCUGGGUGGCAGUCUUGAGCAUGUGGCAGUCUAGCGUAGAGACACAGAAUAGAUGUUAGCGACAGUGGCGUAGCCAGCAAGACAAUGAACGACAUGCAGUGAUUGACAUCAGAUGACAUGGACUGCGGUACUGAACUCUGAUGCAGUCUGCGGCGCUGGGUCCAGUGCAUGGAGGAUGGAGUAGCCGUGGUGGUCUGAUUGGCAUGGGUGAUUUAUUGCUGUAUUGUUGAUUAUGUCUUUAUUGUUUAUUAUGUUAACAGAUAUCAUAGUUUUAUUAGUACAUAGUAUUGAAGCCACUUGUCUUAUGUUAUUAAUUUUAAGUUAUUCAUAAAAUAUGUUUGUAGUUAUCAAUUCAUUUCAUCAAUCUAUCAUUACAUUUAUUACAUUAUUUUAAAGUAGCCAUCCAUGCCUAUUUAGAACAUUAAAUAUUAGUUUU